rnacentral:rRNA from 1 species
UACGUAGGUGACAAGCGUUAUCCGGAAUUACUGGGCGUAAAGCGCACGCAGGCGGCGCAUUAAGGCUGAUGGGAAAUCUCCCGGCUUAACUGGGAGGGGUCAUUGGAAACUGAUGUGCUUGAGGCGGUGAGAGGGGUGUAGAAUUCCCGGUGUAGUGGUGGAAUGCGUAGAUAUCGAGAGGAACACCUGCGGCGAAGGCGGGUUGCUGGGCCGACACUGACGCUGAUGCGCGAAAGCCAGGGGAGCGAACGGG